rnacentral:rRNA from 1 species
GACGAACGCUGGCGGCAUGCCUAACACAUGCAAGUCGAGCGAACAGAUGAAGUGCUUGCACUUCUGACGUUAGCGGCGAACGGGUGAGUAACACGUAAGGAAUCUACCUAUAAGCGGAGGAUAACAUUCGGAAACGGGUGCUAAUACCGCAUAAUAUCUUCUUCCGCAUGGAAGAAGAUUGAAAGACAGCUCCGCUGUCACUUAUAGAUGACCUUGCGGUGCAUUAGUGAGUUGGUGGGGUAACGGCCUACCAAGACGAUGAUGCAUAGCCGACCUGAGAGGGUGAUCGGCCACAUUGGGACUGAGACACGGCCCAAACUCCUACGGGAGGAAGCAGUAGGGAAUCUUCCGCAAUGGGCGAAAGCCUGACGGAGCAAUGCCGCGUGAGUGAAGAAGGCCUUCGGGUCGUAAAACUCUGUUAUAAGAGAAGAACAAAUUGUAGAGUAACUGCUACAGUCUUGACGGUAUCUUAUCAGAAAGCCACGGCUAACUACGUGCCAGCAGCCGCCGUAA